rnacentral:lncRNA from 1 species
CCAGCAAGGGCUGUGAGAUUCCAGAUGCUACUUGGCAGUGUCAUCGAAGUCCCCAGAUCUUCUGGACUGGCAGAAGGAGGGAUGAGAUUGAUAACCCGGGAUAAUAGCUGGGGCUGGCGGAAAGCUGAAGGGAACUCGUUCCAUCAAAAGGUGUCCUCCAGCUGGACACAUCCCAGGCCGUGUAUUAGAGAAGAAGGCUGGCCACGGCAGGGCCUAGUGCGGUGCUUUGUUUCAGAGAGAACUGUGACCUCAGUAAGGGCUGAGGCUCUCAGGGCCGGUGGAAACCUCCCUCCGGGGAGGGGGAAGGGCUCCGUGGCUGGCCACGAGUCAGCAGAUGCUAAACCUGGUCGCUCAGUGGAGAGGUGGCAAGUCUGGAGUCUGAUUUGCUUUUGUGUCCUGGUUUUGCUGCCUGUAUCUUAUAAGAUCUUGGAAGGGUCUGACCCAUUGAGUCCCAGUCGAUGCAUCUGCAAGGCACUCCGCGGGGCAGCUCACAGCUCGCGGAUGGGAAAUGUAAUUGCAUCUGCCACUCAUCUGGUCCGUGCCCAGACUGUCUGCGCGCUUACACAUCUAGCCGGAUCAAGCUGGGCACACACUUGUAUGCUGUGGUGCUUGUCCUCUGACUGAUAUGCCCCUGCCUCCUGUCUGCCUGGAGCACUAGCCAUCUUCAAAGAUUCCAUGCUAAUGCUACCGCCUCCCAGGAAACUUCCAGGACAAUCCUGUCCCAGACCCCCUUUUUCUUGUCAUAUAGAAUUCUUACUGCAUGAAUUAUAUUGCCUUUCAAUGAUUUGUUUACAUGUCUGUUUCUCUUUUCCCUUGUAGUCAAGGACUACAUUCACUCAUUUUUAUCUAUUCAUUUCUAUAUCCAUUUUUAUAUCCUCUGUAUCCAG